UGGGGAAUUUUGCACAAUGGGCGCAAGCCUGAUGCAGCGACGCCGCGUGAGGGAUGAAGGCCUUCGGGUUGUAAACCUUUUUCGCUCAUGGUCAAGCCGCAGCUUUGGGUUGUGGUGAGGGUAGUGGGUAAAGAAGCGCCGGCUAACUACGUGCCAGCAGCCGCGGUAAUACGUAGGGCGCGAGCAUUGUCCGGAAUUAUUGGGCGUAAAGGGCUUGUAGGCGGUUGGCCGCGUCUGCCGUGAAAUCCUCUGGCUUAACUGGGGGCGUGCGGUGGGUACGGGUUGACUUGAGUGCGGUAGGGGAGACUGGAAUUCCUGGUGUAGCGGUGGAAUGCGCAGAUAUCAGGAGGAACACCGGUGGCGAAGGCGGGUCUCUGGGCCGUUACUGACGCUGAGGAGCGAAAGCGUGGGGAGCGAACAGG
rnacentral:rRNA from 1 species